GGCUAAAUGGGGUCCUUAGAGCAUUUAUUAUGAGAAUAAAGUGUCAAUCAAACAUUUAAUAAUGAACCUCAGAAGGAACUAAUGAGAACGAAAUUUCAAGGGACUUAAAAAAGCAUGAAGAACUGAGGAUGAAGAAAACGAUAAGAUGGUCAAAUCCUGUCAGCGCAGGUGUAUGAUUACGAGUAUAGAUGAAAGAAGACGCAGAUGUCAAAAGCAGUAGUGGAAAGCACAGAGAUAAGGUUCUAAGAUAAUGGAAGAGUUGAGUCGAAUUGCUACUGAACGAUUGAAGACUGGAACUAGAAUAUAAAAUCUUUAGAUACAAUAAAUCUGCAUUUGAUCUUU